UGAAAAUAAAAUGGAACGUGCAUGUAUUUCUAAUCAUCUUCGUCUUCAAUAAAAUAAUAUGCACGGAACAAAUUUAAAUUCAUACAAUAAAAUAAUCAUAUGCUUAUGCAAGCAUUGAGAGAUUAAAUCAAUCUUUGUAUAAUUAAUAAAGUAACUCGUGCUGUAUUUUUAAUCGAUUCGUUCACAAUUGUAAGAGCAGUUCACUUCGUUCAAUUCAAUUGAAUUCGAUACGUUGAUGCAGCAAUGAGGGCAAGAUUCAUUUGGUGGUGGAAAAUUAUCAUACAAUAUUUGACAAAUUGUACCAUACACGGUGUUAAAUAUCUUGUGAACGAUCAGCUUUCAUUUGUAGAAAGAUUAUUUUGGCUAAUAUUUUGCGCGCUAUCCUGGUACGGUUGCGCGAACAUGAUUAAUAAUGUAGUGAGAAACUAUAUUCAAUAUCCUAUUGCUUUAACUACCGAAACCACAUACCUUGAUUGGCAGACACCGUUUCCCACAGUUGCUUUUUGCUUUACUGUCACUUCUCCCAUUAAAAAACUUUUCAAAGGAAACCCAGGAUUGUUCACAAAUUAUCCCGAUUCUAAAUCUCUCCGUGAAUCGUCAGAACAUCUUCUGUCUCUUUAUCAAACGAUGCGCAUUCCCUGUGAAGAAUUCUUAGCAGAAUGUACGUGGAACAACGUGAAAUUUGAUUGCUGCACUGAAUUCAAGGAACUGAGGAAAACCGGCGUUGGUUAUUGCAUCGCGAUGAAUACAUUUCAUUCAAAACCAGGCGUACAUUUUUUCGUAAAUCGUACCGUGAAGUACGGUGAUCUUGUCGUCGAUAUUCUGAUGAGUGAAAAGAUGAAAAAACAAAUUUACUCUGGAUUUACAGUACAUCUACUGAACAAUUUGAAAUUGCCAAUUCUUAACAACGUGGAUAAAGGUGAUAUACCUAUAAAAUCCGGCAAAACGACCCGAGUCGAAUUCACAAUGCAGGAUACGUUCAAUGAGGACGGCGUGAAGAAAAUUGCGGUCGAACAUAGAGGCUGUCGGUUUCCCGAAGAAACACGAACGAACAAUCUAUUUAAUGUUUACAGCAGCGAUUCGUGUUAUCUGGAAGUGAUUAUAGAACGAAUGAUAAAGCUCUGCGGUUGCGUGAAUUUUUAUUACUUUGUGCCCCGAGGGGCGAGAGCUUGCAACGGCACCGAGAUGCUUUGCAUAAUUGAGAAUAAGAUGAACAUCGAUUUGCAAUCGCUUAAAAAUGAAGGAUGUCUUCCGGAUUGCGAGGGGACAUCAUUGGUUGUAAAUCAUUUGGAACCUUCGGAAUAUGAUUCUCCUAGUCGAAUGUAUGGACGACUUCAUUUUACAUUGCUAUCACAUCCAACGAUGCGAUAUCGUCGAUAUGUGGUCAAUGAUCUUUUAGAUGUCAUAGCCAUGUACUUGGACAAUUUCCGGGAAGAUCGAGACGACUCAUUGAGCGGCGUGUGCCGAAGGUUUUUCCGUCGAAGACAAUGCCCUAGGUCAGAGGGACAACUGGAACGCCGUGAGAGGGUGGGAGUGCGGAGAAGCAGCUCCUAUAUUAAAUCAUGGCGAGGCCACUACCCAAAGUCAGUUCCACGUUGAACGCUCAGCCAAGAAACUCUUCCCCGACGACUCUAUCGAUCAUUCUAUCGAGCAGUACGUUACCAUCUCUUGUAGCUCUCUUUUGUGAAGACAUCCUGGUGGAGAGUGUUCAUUCUACAUUGUCGUCGUUCCUCAGUAUAUUUCAAUAUUAAACAAAAGCUCUGCGUGACUGCGCUCUUCAAAUAAGUUCCCUCGUGCAUCAAGAGAGAUUGGAAGAAAGUUCUCUACAUCUGUCGGUUCCUCGACACAACAUCGGGCAUGAAGUUAACUGCGUGGAGUUUUGUGUCGUGCAUCCUGA